rnacentral:rRNA from 1 species
AACGCUGGCGGCAUGCCUAAUACAUGCAAGUCGAACGAAAUACAUUCGUAUUUAGUGGCGAACGGGUGAGUAAUGCAUAUUUAAUCUACCUAAACGAUAGGAAUAACAGCUAGAAAUAGUUGCUAAUACCUAAUAGGAUAGCAAUAUUUAAAGGUCCUUUUGGAUCGCGUUUAGAUGAGAAUAUGUCGUAUUAGCUAGUUGGUGGGGUAAAUGCCUACCAAGGCAAUGAUACGUAGCCGACCUGAGAGGGUGAACGGCCACAUCGGGACUGAGACACGGCCCGGACUCCUACGGGAGGCAGCAGUAAGGAAUUUUUCACAAUGGACGAAAGUCUGAUGAAGCAAUGCCGCGUGAUUGAUGACAGCCUUAGGGUUGUAAAAAUCUGUUAAGAGGAAAGAAAACUAAGCAAAAGAGAAAGUUGCUUAUUUGACGGUACCUUUUUAGAAAGACACGGCAAACUAUGUGCCAGCAGCCGCGGUAAUACAUAGGUGUCAAGCGUUAUUCGGAUUUAUUGGGCGUAAAGGGUGCGUAGACGGUUUAAAAAGUUUGAGGUUGAAAAUUAAAGCUUAACUUUAUUAUGCUUCAAAAACUGUUAGACUAGAGAUUGAUAGAGGUUAAUGGAACUUUAUGUGUAGUGGUAAAAUACGUAGAUAUAUAAAGGAACACCGGNNNNNNNNNNNNNNNNNNNNNNNNNNNNNNNNNNNNNNNNNNNNNNNNNNNNNNNNNNNNNNNNNNNNGAUACCCUAGUAGUCCACGCCGUAAACGAUGAGUACUAAGUGUCAAUUUUUUAUUGGUGCUACAGCUAACGCGUUAAGUACUCCGCCUGAGUAGUACGCUCGCAAGAGUAAAACUCAAAGGAAUUGACGGGGACCCGCACAAGCAGUGGAGCAUGUGGUUUAAUUCGAAGCAACGCGAAGAACCUUACCAAGGCUUGACAUCCAGUGCAAAGCUAUAGAAAUAUAGUAGAGGUUAACAUUGAGACAGGUGGUGCAUGGUUGUCGUCAGCUCGUGCCGUGAGGUGUUAGGUUAAGUCCUGUAACGAGCGCAACCCUUGUUGUUAAUUGCUAAUAUUAAGUUAAGUACUUUAACAAGACUGCUAGUGUAAACUAGAGGAAGGUGAGGAUGACGUCAAAUCAUCAUGCCCCUUAUGUCUUGGGCUACACACGUGCUACAAUGGCCAAUACAAAGAGUUGCGAACUUGCGAAAGUAAGCUAAUCUCAAAAAGUUGGUCUCAGUUCGGAUUGAAGGCUGCAACCCGCCUUCAUGAAGCCGGAAUUGCUAGUAAUCGCAAAUCAGCCAUGUUGCGGUGAAUACGUUCUCGGGUCUUGUACACACCGCCCGUCACACCAUGAAAGUUAAUCGUGCCAGAAGUUAGUGAAUCAACUUGCAAAAGAGAAAGCUACCUAAGGUAAAGUU